rnacentral:rRNA from 1 species
AUGGGCUUUGGGUUAUGUAGAUCAAAAAUGAUGAAUGGGAUUGUGGCACUCGAGUCGCCGCCAAUGCGGAAGGAUGCCGCCGAAAAGAAUGGAACGCUGCUUCGCUCUGCUGGAUGCGUCGGAUCCCAUAUAAGAAGCUCGCUCUUUACCCGAUCAUUCAAACAUUUUGUGGGCGGCGCGCCUGCUCUAUUGUUGCGUAGCAAUAGAAGCCUGCUCAUGCUGCUUCGGCGGCGCUUUUUCGCCUUCUCUUCGCUCUGGACAGGAGCGCUAAUGGACACGGGGAGGGAGCAGGCGAAGCGUGUCGUUCGUAAUGGAAAGAAAGACACCACUACUUCGCCUCUUUGUUGGACCGCCGGCGCGAACACGGUGGUCUCUGACCAGGACCAGGAACCAAUUCGAAUAUGGAUCUUGACAUGUCGGUUGUUUUUAACCGUAGGCAUCUCGCCAGGAAGUUGUUGGGCUCAUCAUGAAUUAGGUCGGGGUGGCUGGUGGUUUCGGGAUCCCGUAGAAAAUGCGUCUUUUAUGCCUCGGGUAUUAGCCACAGCUCGUAUUCAUUCAGUAAUUCUACCCCUUCUUCAUUCUUGGACCUCGCUUCUGAAUAUUUUGACUCUUCCAUGCUGUGUCUUAGGAACCUUUUCAAUACGGUCCGGAUUGCUAGCUCCCGUUCAUAGUUCCGCUACAGACGAUACACGAGGAAGAUUUUUAUGGCGGUUCUUCCUUCUAAUUACAGGCAUAUCUAUGACUCUUUUUUACCAGAUGAAGCAGGAGGCAUCGGUCCGUAGAACCUAUAAAAAAGAGAUGGUUGUGGCGCGAAGUACUCUUGUGCACCUACAUCACUCGGCUCGCGCGCAACCCCGCCCCGUUAUGUUAUGUUAUGGAAGAAUUUAG